CGAGGCUUCCCGCAUUCAAGACUGUCUGCCUUCCACGGUUUGUUUGGCCCUGCGUGUGGCGUCAAAUUUAAAAGAGAGUUGAAGUUAGUAAAUGAAGAACCACCACCAACCAUUGUUGGCCUAGACACUGGAGGGGGAGGACGUAUUCCAGCUCUCGUCCUGAUAGUAUCUUCAAAGAAAGGUGUGAAUGGCGGACCAGCAGGUGACCCAGGGAGAGAAAGAGACUGUCAGGCAGCAGGAAAACGUCCAUAGGCGCAGGAACUGAACAUGGACACAUGCCAAGCGGGGUUCCAGAGGGUGGUAAUGGAGGGCCGUCACCUGCCUGGAGGAUAUUCUGGGUCAUCAGGUACUGAGGUCUGCCUGGGCCACCUCCAGCACCACCACAAGUGCCAGGAACAUGACGCUCCACGCGUCAACCGCAGGCGCCCGCAUCUCUGCAAGCUAAGAUCUAUUACGUGAGCGCAGACUUGUCUUGAGGAAGGCUGCUGCUGGAGUGUAUACACCGCCCCUGUGGAUAAACAAAGAAAAAGUCCCAGGAGCAAUGUAAACUGGGUAAUUUAAUUACCCAGAAAAAGUACAAUUUUGGUAUAACUUUUACCCAGUAAAAAGUAAUUUUGUAAACAAU